AUCUCUGUGAACAGGCAUCCUUGAUACCCAGAGAUGACACUUCUAGCCCUCUAUGGUGGGGAGAGGGGAGGGAGGAUUGAGGGGCUCUGAGGACUCUCUAGUUUGGAGAGAUUCUCAAUUGGACUUUAUGCUCCCUGCCCAGCCCUGGUUCACACAGGAGCAGCUCUGUGGGCAGGAUUGCUGGAACAGAGAAUGUCCAAGCUGAAAGGAGCCUCCAAACAUGCAAUAUCAGAGAUGGAAGAGCCCUUUGAGCAGAGUCA